GGUUAAGUUAGAAAGGGCGCACGGUGGAUGCCUUGGCACUAGGAGCCGAUGAAGGACGGGACGAACACCGAUAUGCUUCGGGGAGCUGUAAGCAAGCUUUGAUCCGGAGAUUUCCGAAUGGGGAAACCCACCACUCGUAAUGGAGUGGUAUCCAUAUCUGAAUACAUAGGAUAUGAGAAGGCAGACCCGGGGAACUGAAACAUCUAAGUACCCGGAGGAAGAGAAAGCAAAUGCGAUUCCCUGAGUAGCGGCGAGCGAAACGGGACCAGCCCAAACCAAGAGGCUUGCCUCUUGGGGUUGUAGGACACUCUGUACGGAGUUACAAAGGAACGAGGUAGAUGAAGAGGUCUGGAAAGGCCCGCCAUAGGAGGUAACAGCCCUGUAGUCAAAACUUCGUUCUCUCCUGAGUGGAUCCUGAGUACGGCGGAACACGUGAAAUUCCGUCGGAAUCCGGGAGGACCAUCUCCCAAGGCUAAAUACUCCCUAGUGACCGAUAGUGAACCAGUACCGUGAGGGAAAGGUGAAAAGCACCCCGGAAGGGGAGUGAAAGAGAUCCUGAAACCGUGUGCCUACAAGUAGUCAGAGCCCGUUAACGGGUGAUGGCGUGCCUUUUGUAGAAUGAACCGGCGAGUUACGAUCCCGUGCAAGGUUAAGCAGAAGAUGCGGAGCCGCAGCGAAAGCGAGUCUGAAUAGGGCGAAUUGAGUACGUGGUCGUAGACCCGAAACCAGGUGAUCUACCCAUGUCCAGGGUGAAGUUCAGGUAACACUGAAUGGAGGCCCGAACCCACGCACGUUGAAAAGUGCGGGGAUGAGGUGUGGGUAGGGGUGAAAUGCCAAUCGAACCUGGAGAUAGCUGGUUCUCUCCGAAAUAGCUUUAGGGCUAGCCUCAAGGUAAGAGUCUCGGAGGUAGAGCACUGAUUGGACUAGGGGCCCCUACCGGGUUACCGAAUUCAGUCAAACUCCGAAUGCCGAUGACUUAUCCUUGGGAGUCAGACUGCGAGUGAUAAGAUCCGUAGUCGAAAGGGAAACAGCCCAGACCGCCAGCUAAGGUCCCAAAGUAUACGUUAAGUGGAAAAGGAUGUGGAGUUGCUUAGACAACCAGGAUGUUGGCUUAGAAGCAGCCACCAUUUAAAGAGUGCGUAAUAGCUCACUGGUCGAGUGACUCUGCGCCGAAAAUGUACCGGGGCUAAACGUAUCACCGAAGCUGCGGACUGUUCUUCGAACAGUGGUAGGAGAGCGUUCUAAGGGCUGUGAAGCAAGACCGGAAGGACUUGUGGAGCGCUUAGAAGUGAGAAUGCCGGUAUGAGUAGCGAAAGAGGGGUGAGAAUCCCCUCCACCGAAUGCCUAAGGUUUCCUGAGGAAGGCUCGUCCGCUCAGGGUUAGUCGGGACCUAAGCCGAGGCCGAAAGGCGUAGGCGAUGGAUAACAGGUUGAUAUUCCUGUACCACCUCCUCACCAUUUUAGCAAUGGGGGGACGCAGGAGGAUAGGGUAAGCGCGGUAUUGGAUAUCCGCGUCCAAGCAGUUAGGCUGGGAAAUAGGCAAAUCCGUUUCCCGUGAAGGCUGAGCUGUGAUGGCGAGCGAAUUAUAGUAGCGAAGUUCCUGAUUCCACACUGCCAAGAAAAGCCUCUAGCGAGGUGAGAGGUGCCCGUACCGCAAACCGACACAGGUAGGCGAGGAGAGAAUCCUAAGGUGAUCGAGAGAACUCUCGUUAAGGAACUCGGCAAAAUGACCCCGUAACUUCGGGAGAAGGGGUGCUCUGUUAGGGUGCAAGCCCGAGAGAGCCGCAGUGAAUAGGCCCAGGCGACUGUUUAGCAAAAACACAGGUCUCUGCGAAGCCGUAAGGCGAAGUAUAGGGGCUGACGCCUGCCCGGUGCUGGAAGGUUAAGAGGAGCGCUUAGCGUAAGCGAAGGUGCGAAUUGAAGCCCCAGUAAACGGCGGCCGUAACUAUAACGGUCCUAAGGUAGCGAAAUUCCUUGUCGGGUAAGUUCCGACCCGCACGAAAGGCGCAACGAUCUGGGCACUGUCUCAACGAGAGACUCGGUGAAAUUAUAGUACCUGUGAAGAUGCAGGUUACCCGCGACAGGACGGAAAGACCCCGUGGAGCUUUACUGCAGCCUGAUAUUGAAUGUUGGUACAGCUUGUACAGGAUAGGUAGGAGCCUUGGAAACCGGAGCGCCAGCUUCGGUGGAGGCAUCGGUGGGAUACUACCCUGGCUGUAUUGACCUUCUAACCCGCCGCCCUUAUCGGGCGGGGAGACAGUGUCAGGUGGGCAGUUUGACUGGGGCGGUCGCCUCCUAAAAGGUAACGGAGGCGCCCAAAGGUUCCCUCAGAAUGGUUGGAAAUCAUUCGCAGAGUGUAAAGGCACAAGGGAGCUUGACUGCGAGACCUACAAGUCGAGCAGGGACGAAAGUCGGGCUUAGUGAUCCGGUGGUUCCGCAUGGAAGGGCCAUCGCUCAACGGAUAAAAGCUACCCCGGGGAUAACAGGCUUAUCUCCCCCAAGAGUCCACAUCGACGGGGAGGUUUGGCACCUCGAUGUCGGCUCAUCGCAUCCUGGGGCUGUAGUCGGUCCCAAGGGUUGGGCUGUUCGCCCAUUAAAGCGGUACGCGAGCUGGGUUCAGAACGUCGUGAGACAGUUCGGUCCCUAUCCGUCGCGGGCGCAGGAAAUUUGAGAGGAGCUGUCCUUAGUACGAGAGGACCGGGAUGGACGCACCGCUGGUGUACCAGUUGUUCUGCCAAGGGCAUCGCUGGGUAGCUAUGUGCGGACGGGAUAAGUGCUGAAAGCAUCUAAGCAUGAAGCCCCCCUCAAGAUGAGAUUUCCCAUUCCGCAAGGAAGUAAGAUCCCUGAAAGAUGAUCAGGUUGAUAGGUCUGAGGUGGAAGUGUGGCGACACAUGGAGCUGACAGAUACUAAUCGAUCGAGGACUUAACCAA
rnacentral:rRNA from 1 species